CAGUAGCCGCGGUAAUACAGAGGGUGCGAGCGUUAAUCGGAUUUACUGGGCGUAAAGCGUGCGUAGGCGGCUUCUUAAGUCGGAUGUGAAAUCCCUGAGCUUAACUUAGGAAUUGCAUUCGAUACUGGGAAGCUAGAGUAUGGGAGAGGAUGGUAGAAUUCCAGGUGUAGCGGUGAAAUGCGUAGAGAUCUGGAGGAAUACCGAUGGCGAAGGCAGCCAUCUGGCCUAAUACUGACGCUGAGGUACGAAAGCAUGGGGAGCAAACAGGAUUAGAUACCCGAGUAGUCCCUGUCUCUUAUCU
rnacentral:rRNA from 1 species